CAGAGGGAAUUUCCGGUGUAGCGGUGAAAUGCGUAGAUAUCGGGAAGAACACCAGUGGCGAAAGCGCUCUGCUGGACCAUUACUGACGCUCAUGGACGAAAGCCAGGGGAGCGAGAGGGAUUAGAUACCCCUGUAGUCCUGGCCGUAAACGAUGAACACUAGAUGUUGGGGGAAUCGACCCCCUCGGUGUCGUAGCUAACGCGUUAAGUGUUCCGCCUGGGGAGUACGCACGCAAGUGUGAAACUCAAAGGAAUUGACGGGGGCCCGCACAAGCGGUGGAGUAUGUGGUUUAAUUCGAUGCAACGCGAAGAACCUUACCAAGGCUUGACAUCCUGCGAAUCUCCGAGAAAUUGGAGAGUGCCUUCGGGAACGCAGUGACAGGUGGUGCAUGGCUGUCGUCAGCUCGUGUCGUGAGAUGUUGGGUUAAGUCCCGCAACGAGCGCAACCCACGUUUUUAGUUGCCAGCAUUCAGUUGGGCACUCUAGAAAGACUGCCGGUGACAAACCGGAGGAAGGUGUGGACGACGUCAAGUCAUCAUGCCCCUUACGCCUUGGGCUACACACGUACUACAAUGCUGCGGACAAAGAGUAGCGAUCUUGCGAAAGUUAGCUAAUCUCGUAAACCGUGGCUCAGUUCAGAUCGUAGGCUGCAACUCGCCUACGUGAAGGAGGAAUCGCUAGUAAUCGCAGGUCAGCAUACUGCGGUGAAUACGUUCCCGGGCCUUGUACACACCGCCC
rnacentral:rRNA from 1 species